rnacentral:lncRNA from 13 species
UGUGAAUGAUGCUGCAAUGAAGGAAGAAAGGAAAAAGGACUCAAUUCAAAGAAUACUUGAAAUUACACAAGUAAAAGCCUCCGUACCACUGGUGGGUACCCGAGUUCAGUGGUGACAAAGGAUUGAGAAAAAGAUUAAGAGUGAAAGUGGGCCCAGGGGGCCAUUACUUAUUACUGGAGUCAGUGAAGGUCCCAAGGUAGGUUCACCAC